rnacentral:tRNA from 1 species
GUGCCCAUGGCUCAAAGGAGCAGGGCGCCGGCCCCAUAUGCCGGAGGUAGUGGGUUCAAGCCCCAUUGGGCCA